GAUGAACGCUGGCGGCGUGCCUAAUACAUGCAAGUCGAGCGAACAGACGAGGAGCUUGCUCCUCUGACGUUAGCGGCGGACGGGUGAGUAACACGUGGAUAACCUACCUAUAAGACUGGGAUAACUUCGGGAAACCGGAGCUAAUACCGGAUAAUAUAUUGAACCGCAUGGUUCAAUAGUGAAAGACGGUUUUGCUGGCACUUAUAGAUGGAUCCGCGCCGCAUUAGCUAGUUGAUAAGGUAACGGCUUACCAAGGCGACGAUGCGUAGCCGACCUGAGAGGGUGAUCGGCCACCCUGGAACUGAGACACGGUCCAGACUCCUACGGGACGCAGCAGUCGGCAAUCUUCCGCAAUGGGCGAAAACCUGACGGAGCAACGCCGAGUGAGUGAUGAAGGUCUUCGGAUCGUAAAACUCUGUUAUUAGGGAAGAACAAAUGUGUAAGUAACUAUGCACGUCUUGACGGUACCUAAUCAGAAAGCCACGGCUAACUACGUG
rnacentral:rRNA from 1 species